UGUUCGAUGAUGUGUGGGAACCACACUUAAUAAACUCUUUAAUAACCUAUUUUCCAACAAAAAUUUUUUAAUAAAAAUUUUCAACGAUGGAUAUCUAGGUUCCCAUAACGAUGAAGAACGCAGCGAAGUGCGAUAAGCAAUGCGAAUUGCAGAAUUCCGCGAGUCAUCAGAUCUUUGAACGCAAGUGGCGCUAGUUUACUAGCAUGUUUGUUUCAGUGUGUUUGGAGUAUCAUAAAAUCAAAAUGCAAUUGAAGUUCACGCUUCUUUUGUUUAAUCUGGAGGAUGUAAUUUCGAACAUCCCCCAAACGGAGUAGUCACUUUAUGUGAUCACGUUUGGGAUGUGUAGUUAAACAUCCAAAAAAUUUCAAUUUCCAUCAGCACCUGAAAUCAAGCAAGACUACCCGCUGAACUUAAGCAUAUCAGUA
rnacentral:rRNA from 1 species